rnacentral:rRNA from 1 species
CCUACGGGUGGCAGCAGUGGGGAAUAUUGCACAAUGGGGGAAACCCUGAUCCAGCAACGCCGCGUGAGUGAAGAAGGAUUUCGGUAUUUAAAGCUCUAUCAGCAGGGAAGAAAAUGACGGUACCUGUUUCAGAAUCCCCGUCUCACGACGUGCCAGCAGCCCCGGUACCACGUAGGGGGCAAGCGUUAUCCGGAUUUGCUGGGUGUAAAGGGAGCGUAUACGGCAGCACAAGUCUGGAGGGAAAUGCCGGGGGUUAACCCCGGAACUGCUGUGGAAACUGUGCAGCUAGAGUGCAGGAGAGGUAAGUGGAAUGCGCAGUGUAGCGGUGAAAUGCGUAGAUAUUAGGAGGAACACCAGUGGCGAAGGCGGCUUACUGGACUGUAACUGACGUUGAGGCUCGAAAGCGUGGGGAGCAAACAGGAUUAGAUACCCUUGUAGUC